rnacentral:rRNA from 1 species
UACGGGGGGGGCAAGCGUUGUUCGGAAUUACUGGGCGUAAAGGGCUCGUAGGUGGCCAACUAAGUCAGACGUGAAAUCCCUCAGCUUAACUGGGGAACUGCGUCUGAUACUGGUCGGCUUGAGUGCAGGAGAGGAACGCGGAAUUCCAGGUGUAGCGGUGAAAUGCGUAGAUAUCUGGAGGAACACCGGUGGCGAAGGCGGCGUUCUGGACUGCAACUGACACUGAGGAACGAAAGCCAGGGGAGCAAACGGG